rnacentral:tRNA from 1 species
GCCGUGAUAGCUCUGUUGGUAGAGCCACUGCCCGGUAAGCAGAGUGUCCCCGAUUCGUUUCCGGCUCGCGGCG